UCAUGUCACUAGGUCGGCAAACAAGCGCACGGCUCACCUGAUGGUAAGCGAUUACCGUAGCUUAUAGACACCUGCAACACCAGAAGCAUCGCAAGCGCGUUGCCGACCCAAUCCCCAAUCCCCCCAGGAGCUCUGGUCACCUUACUCACCAACAGGAACACAAUACUGCUUGAAAACAGUAUAAUUUUAUAUCUAAUAAUGCGUUUUUACUUGACGCUUUUUUCGUCGACCUACGUUGUAUUAUACCGCAUAACUUUCUACUGGAUGUACCGAUUUUGAUAAUUCUUUUUUUGUUGAAAAGGGGAUAUCCCUAGUUUGGUACCGUGAUAAGGAAACCAGGAUCUGAUGAUGGGAUCCCAGAGAAAUCAAGGGAAACUCUCGAAAAUCCGGAAUAACUUUUUACUGGGUGUACCGAUUUUGAUAAUUUUUAAUUUAAUCGAAAGCUAAUGUUUAUCAUGUGGUCACAUAUAAAUUUUAUCGAGAUC
rnacentral:misc_RNA from 1 species